CGACCAUGACUCAAGUAUUAA
rnacentral:miRNA from 1 species